AGUAAGAGACAGAAACGAAAAAAGGUCCGUUUUUUCAUUUUCUGAGACCGGAAGUGGUCAUCAGCAAGUGUGGAGCCAAACAGAGUACGGUGCAUAGACUGUACAUACAUUUUUUUUCGUGAGUUUUCAUGGUCAAAAUGAGAGAUCAGGUGGCCGAUCUUAAAAUAAAUCAAUAUUGAUUUUUUUAUAGAGCGUUAAAGUUUUGCGAAGCCAGGGGGCGGGACUACUUGAUUGACAGUCCGGUCUGGAAUGAUUGACAGGUCCUAUGGAGGAGGCAGCAGAGACUCUGCUCUCCUCGUUUGGAUUAAUUCUGAUAUAAUAACUGUUGGUUUAUUUAUCGGUGGAGCAGCAGAACAUUUUCCACAGACAGUUUUCCUGCCCGUUGGCUUGUUUUAACCAGUUUUCUACCUUCGGCUGAUUCUACCAGCAGACACUGAAAGGACUCUGAUAGUUCGAGUGAAAGUAGCAAUUCCUCCUUAAGGUCAGAGAUUGCAGCAUCUGAGGGCCUCUUCAAAAGAAGACGUAGUUGAUGAAGGCGUUCUGGAGCAGGACCAGAAAGACCACGACCAAGCAGCCUUGAGAUCUUAGGCAGCGUCUCCCUCAGGUCCCUCUCUAUCUCCCUACACAUCCACCAAACACUGGAACACAUCUCCAAAGUUCUGCCGGGCCAGCUCAGCUUCCCCUCAGAAGAAGUGCCGCCACCUGCCAGAUUAAGGAGCCUUUUGAGAGGCAGCUGGCAUCGUGAUUGGACUGUACUUUGGUCUGUUCCAAUCCAGCUUCAGCUCCAGAGACGGCAGGAGGGACGAGUCAACGGAGGCCGAGUG